CACUUCACCAAACCCCUAACACGACAGUUGCUCUGAGGUGCAUCUCUUUCUGAAAGACUGAACAUUCUUUUUUUGAUAUUGUCAGGUAUGCCUAGACAAGCCUCACUGGAAGGAUGGAUCUGAGAACAUCGUAUACAGAGAAGAUGUCAAGAUAAUUAGCAAGGGAGGUUGUCUACUGAGAAGAGAGAGAGUGGAAAGAAGAAUCAGAAAAAAGGAAAGAGAGAUGCACACUCUUGUUGCAUAUUGCCACUGACUUGAAGAAAACCAAUGAACAGGUUGGAAUUUUGGGCCUGUCUGGAUGAAGUGUGUAUAACGGGUUAGGAGCUUUGCCAGAAACAUCACCAGGACAUCCACUUCAAAAGAACGGCUUGUCUAGAAUUAAAUGAUACUUGAGGCCAAUUCCACAACUAUGCAGUGAUAUUAAGUCGUCCUUGUUGAUUCUUUGAGAUCUGCGAGCGGCCUUUGAUACUGUAUCAUCCACCAUGAGCAUGAGAAAUGUUGAUGCAUCCAGACACCCUGGUACGUGUGGAUGAAGUUGCAGUUGCAUGGCUCUUCUCCUUCCUUUCUGUGAUACCCCAGAAGGCGAGAUGUUCUUGUCCCAGAUGAUGGCUAGAAAAGCCAAGCCUAAAGAACAGCUGAACACAGCAACAGAAAAAAUGGAUUAAAAACACACCUUGAAAUAGCUAUCAAUUGAACGCCACAGUUUUGAGUAAAUUUAAAGCAUAGAUUAACAAGAGAAGAAAGGAUCGUCUCCACUACACGGUUUCAGAGAGUUUUACUUUAUUAAUCACAAUAAUCAUGCACAGAAUUAUGCACCAUUCAACACCAGUUAUUAGCUAUUAGUUUGCAACAGAAACAAGAAACUGAGAGGAAAAUUAACGCAAACAAACAAAAAAUAACUAAGUAUAGGAGUUGGAUUUAACAUGCCAAUGAGUCAGCACUGUUAAGAAGCUGAUCAGAAUUCAUUCCCCUCUCCCUAACACCAUGAUAUCAUAACUCUAAAAUGACCAAACACCGCAUCACACCGUCUUCAUCUCAAGCCUUCCACAAAUGCAUCAGCAAAAAGUAUGGACUGACAAAUUCCAACCCAGGGAGUUACAUCCUGUCUCCUUUAUUUUCCUCCUACAAUUUGAGCUGGAUGCAGUAUUCCCCCUGACUUGCUGUCCUAAACCACUGAACAGUGUUGCUUUGCACUGUUAGCCAGCUUCCGCAUUGCAGACCAGCAGUGACGGAUUUUCAGUGGGCAGUAAUGGGAUUCCUCUCUAUAUAAUUUGUAAAGCGUUUUGGAUUCCCACAUGAUGAGAUCUACUAUACUAUAUGUAAGCUAUAUUGUAUGCCAAAGCCUGAGCCAUAGCAGGACACAAUGGAACCUUUUGAGUCCUACUGAAGAAGAGGAUCUUCCCUGUGGAUUUAGGGGAAUGACUUCCCUUGCCUAUCAUCUAUCUCUAAAGACUGGAAAUGGAAGAAAGCGAAUCAGCUGGUUGAUCGUGCAAGAGUCCAGGAAGAGGACAGCCACCUGCCCCAAUGAAGCUGGAGUUUGGUGAAGAUCUACAGAUAUCACAAGGCUUCCUCUUCCUAAGGCAGAAAAAAUUCAGGAGGUUUCAUUGCCUCUGUCAGGGAUAAAGUAGAUGCUAGGGGGAGAAAGGGGGUUAGCUCAAGAUUUAGCACAGGUUUACUGAAGAGGUACAAACCUUAGCCAAGAUUCUUUGAAACUUUUGCUGGAACCCCAUGAAAGUCUUACACAACUCUGCCGAGCCGCUCUGAUCCACAGUUCUCUGCCCUAAUGCCAGUCACUGCCCCCCAGUCCAAACUGGGGAAGAGCACUAAAUUUCCGUCUGGCUGAAGACCAUAAAGACGCCACAUAUUCCAGCUGUUCUUUGUGAUGACUAGUGUGCUGAUUAUGGACUUAUCCAGACACAUGGAAACUCCACAGGAAAAGCUCCCCAAUAGGCACACAUUUGUAAUCUCUUGUGAAUAGAGCCCUAAGUGCCCAUUAACUAUUGCUCAAUUACACGGGAACUCUACAGAAGUAAAUAUGGCAUGCACAUGAAUAUCAAUUAAAUCCAUUCUGAUCAGUGCACUUGUGAGU